UACAGAGGGGGCAAGCGUUGUUCGGAAUUACUGGGCGUAAAGGGCGCGUAGGCGGCCUGCUAAGUCGAACGUGAAAUCCCCGGGCUCAACCCGGGAACUGCGCCCGAUACUGGCAGGCUUGAAUCCGGGAGAGGGAUGUGGAAUUCCAGGUGUAGCGGUGAAAUGCGUAGAUAUCUGGAGGAACACCGGUGGCGAAGGCGGCAUCCUGGACCGGCAUUGACGCUGAGGCGCGAAAGCCAGGGGAGCAAACGGG
rnacentral:rRNA from 1 species